UACGUAGGGUGCAAGCGUUAAUCGGAAUUACUGGGCGUAAAGCGUGCGCAGGCGGCUAUGCAAGACAGAUGUGAAAUCCCCGGGCUCAACCUGGGAACUGCAUUUGUGACUGCAUAGCUAGAGUACGGUAGAGGGGGAUGGAAUUCCGCGUGUAGCAGUGAAAUGCGUAGAUAUGCGGAGGAACACCGAUGGGCGAAGGCAGAUCUCUGGGCCGUAAC
rnacentral:rRNA from 1 species